rnacentral:misc_RNA from 1 species
GAUGAAGAACGUAGCGAAAUGCGAUAAGUAAUGUGAAUUGCAGAAUUCAGUGAAUCAUCGAAUCUUUGAACGCACAUUGCGCCCGCAAGUAUUCUGGCGGGCAUGCCUGUCUGAGCGUCAUUUCAACCCUCAUGCCCCUAGGGCGUGGUGUUGGGGAUCGGCCAAAGCCCGCGAGGGACGGCCGGCCCCUAAAUCUAGUGGCGGACCCGUCGUGGCCUCCUCUGCGAAGUAGUGAUAUUCCGCAUCGGAGAGCGACGAGCCCCUGCCGUUAAACCCCCAACUUUCCAAGGUUGACCUCAGAUCAGGUAGGAAUACCCGCUGAACUUAAGCAUAUCAAUAAGCGGAGGA